UUGACUCGAGGAACAUGCAGUAGAGGAACAGAGCAUCGAAGAGGAAGAAAUCAAAGCGUGGUAGCAAUCUGAAAGGGUGUUGGGGAUUGCAUGCAGCAUCGGAAGCUAUGGAAUGCAGAUGCUAAACAUGGUAAUCGAGAAAGACAAGGUUUUUAUAGAAACGCUUGCGAAGAAGAUACUGAAAGCUACGAUCUUUGGGAAAGGGUAGAACGAGUUUGAGCUUGGUAAGGAUCAGAUCUAAGCAAGGGAGAUUCGGGUUUUUCUGGAAAGAAGGAUGAAACUAUAUGAUAAGUUCAGAGAGAUUUACAAAGCGGACCUAGACUCUGCGUCUGUGUGAGACUCUCUCUCUCUCACUCUCUCUUGUUAUGUUCUCUUUUGUUUCGCGCAGGAUGAGAGAAAAAGGAGAAGAGAGAAAAAGGAGAAGAGAGAACCUUUUGAUUGAGAAAGUGACACUCUGAUACUGUGGCAAAUCCGCCCUCUCUGGGAACUUUCUUUUGCUUUUUUAGAGUGCCCCUCGGUAGAUAAUUAAGUUAAUAACGAUGGCCUUAAUAAGAAAGAGAGUUCUUUUUUAUUUUAUUUUUAGAGUAACUGUAAUUAGUGGCUAGUAAUAAGAAGGUGGAUAUCGAGUUUAUUCCAUCGGACUAAUCACUGCUACAUGUGCUCCACGAGACUUCAAUCAAUUCGGUUUUUAAUAGUAGUACUAGAUUUAGUUUAGAUUUUCAAAUCCAUUAAAAUACAACAACCAAUAACUCUUACACUAUAAACUUAAACUAUGUGUAUAAGUUUAUAGUGAAUUUUUACUAUAACUAUCAUAAAUGAAUACAGCCGAAAAUAACCCCAUCAUUUAUGUUUAAAGAUAUUUUUUGCAGACACUUAUUUUAUUUUAUUUAUUAUUAUAACUAAAGUAGAAUGGAAAUUUAAACUAUAAAAAGUAAAAUAUAUAUAAAUCAAAUUAACCAUAUAAUCUAUUAAAAAUAAUAAAAUUAAAAUAGUGGAAGUUCGGGUUAUAUUCAACUGAGGGUAAAAAAUAUAUUUCUAAAUGUUCACUAAAAUUUAAAUAGUUUCUGCUUAGCAAUAAUAUAAACUGUUAAUAUUUUUUUUUUUAAAUUAUCUUUCCAGUAAAAGAAAAAAAAGCUAUCCUUGUCCUAUAUAUAUUUGCAUCUUUCUCUUUGUAAGCGGCGACUUAGCUCUCUUUACGUUUUCUCGAACAUUAUUUAUCAAUCCCACUUUCUCGAGAAUCUGCGAGCAUUCCAAUCUGAGAAUCACACAAACAUAUAGAAUCAUAUAUGAUUGCUUCUUUGGCUACUCUUGAAAAUUCACAAUAAAACCAGUUUGGUAUAUGAGAAUAUAUAGAAUGUACUUGUUGACACAUACUGAGGAGCCGCAUAGCCAAAUAUACCUAUGACUCUUGUAAUAACAUAGCUUGUUUCUCCCUUUGGACAGUCUCUUGCUAAACCAAAGUCUGAUAGUUUUCUAUUGUAGUCAUAGAUUGUCAUAAAGAACCACGUCAAUACCAUUCUAAGUUCAUUAAGACAGCACUGAGACUUCGGAAAGAGGGUUAAUACCGAGUAUAUCAAGAUCUUAGAAGGUGUAUAUGACUUAAACAAGGUCGUAUGAAGAAAUGCAAGCUCUUUAGCUGCAUCAAGGCAACCUUAACACGUGUUAAGAAUCAAAAUAAGGGAAAAAAAAACUUUUAUAUACAGUUGAGAACUUCCUCAAAUUUCACAUGUGGUCCCUUUCUGCAUCUAUUAUAUAUUUCUGAUUCUGGCUCUUUAUGCAAAAUUUAAUGGAUUAACUUCAAGGCUUCAAGCAGUGGGUCAUUUACCUCGAGGAAGAACGGUUCUUCAGUACGAUCCCGGCGUCGCAUGGAGCAGUCAUGAGAUCCUGUAACGAAAGUCACCACGAUUGCUGACAGCGAAGCACCAAAUCUCUACGUGAUGUUUUUAACUACACAUAAUCUGCUUGAACAUAAUUAAAACAUAAGAACAAACAAUCGCCUGAUAGUUUCAAUAAAUUUUGAUUUAUGAACUUACUUGUGAACAAACGAUCCUCAAGACUCCUUAUGCAUAAACUCGUACAAAAGAAGCAGUUGUUCAUCUUCCAAGCAAUAACCAAUCAGUUUAAAUAAGUUAGGGUGACUUAACUGCACCAAGUAGUUGAUCUCUACCAAAUGUCACAAACAGGUCAGAGAAUCAAACCAUGGAAACUUGAGAUUGGAGUGACAUAAUAGUAAAGACAAUGUUGUGUGUACUAGACAUUAUCAGUGAUCUUGAAAUCCAUCAGGGUUAAACACUUGGACAGGAACUGCAAUACCUGUAAUGGAUCUAGUUGGAGUUAGAGUAGUCUCAUCGAUCGAACCUCUAGAGCAUAACAUAGUUUGAUCUGAAGUUUAUGGUUGGAAGUCUGAGUUCGUUGAAAGCUUUUGAAGAUCGCUUUCCUAAGUAUUUCUUCUUUUUCUUAUGAGAUGCCGAUGAUGAUGAUUGAACACUCGAAAGAUGAAGGUCUUUACUGCUCUUAUCUGCAGACACAUACACAAAGGGUUGACUGAAGUCAGAACUAAGGACAACUGAAAAAGGUGGAAACUUUUUUACUUGGAUCACAUGAAGAUUCUCACAGAGUUCAUUUCUUUUCUCAGAAUUUAAUAUUUGCAGAGAGACACUUGAAAUUAAAAAUCUCAAUAAUUUAUGGGAAAUUCUACAAUGAAAAUUAAAAAGGAGAGAACGUACGCUCAACACGAAAUCUGAGGCAAGAACCCAUUAAUAGAGAGUGGAAGUAAACGAAGACUACAUGCUUAAAGGGAGAAGCUUUCCCGCAUCUGACAAACUCCGACUACAAUGCCCGACUUUCAAGUGAGCGAGGAGGAUAACAGACUUUGCCAUUCUAAUCUGCGGAGGAGAGAGCAACAGCAGAUUUUUGCUUCUUCGGAAUGGCAGAUGAAACAGCACUCUUGCCGUUAGGUUUCGCCGCAAUCGCCGAGGCAGCAGUGGACUUCCCGUGUGGCUUCAUAGUCGCGGAGGAAGCGAAUGUCUUUUCGUUGGUCUUCUGAUCGCUGGAGACUGAAGAGUUGCCUUUGGAGAUAGUUAUCUGAGAGAAUCUUAUGGAUUUUAAUGGAAACAUAAACUAUGAAAAGAGAUUUAUAAAUAUAGAAACGAAGAAGAAGGUGAAAGGAAUCCAUUGAUUAAAGUUCAAUAAAAAGGAUUGAUUAGACCAGGUAGUGGUGAAACGGAUCUGGAAAAGAGUAAUGAAAGAGGUAAAAGGGGAAAGGCAAGAGAAUAAGAAGUUACGACAGUCGGUGGAGAGGAAAAAAUGAUAGGGUUACGACUUUGGAGAGAUGUUGAUAUUAAUCUGAUAGUGAUGGCUUGCACUUGAAUAUUUUAAAAAACCCACUAAACAAGACCAAUUUUAUGACCCACACACAACGCAAAGACGAUGGUGACGUGGAGUAACUAAGCUGUGGGAUUGGUUGUAAUUAGUCCUACGUGGACAUCUUAGAAUGCUCUUGACGUUUUCUUUUAUAGAGUCUGAGACGGUUAUACAAGACGCGUUUGCGCAGUGCAUUGGUGGUUUUCUCAGCGUGGUGGUGCAAGAGCUGAGUGUGUUCAUCCUGUGUGGAGAAUUGGUUCGGUUAAAGCUGAAAGCUACCGGUUUGAUUCGAGUACGGGGACUAUAGGAGUUGGUGAUCUCUACGCUGAGGAAGAGAGGAACUUCUUGGUGAAUCUUGAUGUUCCCGUUGUCAACGGCGUCGUUUCGGAUCCUAUGUCGUUGCUUAAGGUUAGAUGUGUUUAUAGAGAUCCCGUGACGAAAGAGACUGUUGGUUUGAGUAGUUCUAGUGAAGUGAAGAUUCUCAGACCGGUGGUGAUGUCGGAAGGGAGUGCUGUUGUCCUCAAAACUCUCUAAAGGCACAAUCUUUUUGGAUUUUGAUCAGGCCAAGUUUUGUGUAAGAGGGAGGGAACUGUUGUAUAGGUAUUGCUCUGAACAUGGAAUCGCUCAUAGGAAGAUUGGCAAGCUUGUCGUUGCUACAGGAUCAUCUGAUAUACCGAAGCUGGAUCUGUUGAUGCAUCUUGGAACUCAGAAUGGAGUUUCGGGUUUAAGGAUGUUGGAAGGUUUUGAAGCGAUGAGGAUGGAGCCGGAGCUUCGAUGUGUUAAAGCAUUGCUGUCUCCUGAGUCUGGGAUUGUGGAUACGCAUUCCUUCAUGCUAUCUUUAGUGGUAACUAUAUCAUCUCCUCUGUGCUUUGAUAUGAUCUUUGAGUUUAUGGAGUAGGAAAAGAGUUUUGAUUCCAUUAUGUACAGGGGUAACUAACUACAGGGACAAGCAGAGAACAGUCACGCAACGUUCUCAUACAAUACAGUGGUUUUAAGCGGUCGUGUUGAAGAAGAGAAGAUGCAUUUGUUUGUUGCUGAAACUGGAUCGGUUGAGUCUCGGUGUGAGGGAGUAGUAGCUGAGCUUGAGCUGAUACCUAACCUCGUUGUUAACUCCGCGGGGUUAGGUGCUCAAGCUCUGGCAAAGAGAUUCCAUGGGUUAGGUCAUCGGUUCAUUCCUUCGUCUCACUAUGCUCGUGGAUGCUACUUUACGCUGUCCGGUGCUAAGUCUCCUCCUUUUGAUAAACUUGUGUAUCCUAUACCUGAGGAAGGAGGUCUUGGUGUUCAUGUCACUGUUGAUUUGAAUGGGCUUGUGAAGUUUGGUCCUGAUGUUGAGUGGAUUGAAUGCAGAAACGACACAUCAAGCUUCCUCAACAAGUAAUGAUUGCAUCUGUCAUGAAACUCUCCUCUCUCUUGUUCAUUUUGAAGUUGCUCAAGAUCUUCUUUAUGCUGAUUGAAUCCAGAUUUGACUAUGGUGUAAAUCCACAACGAGCUGAGAGAUUCUACCCAGAGAUCAGAAAGUACUACCCGAAGAUGGAUCGUUGGAACCUGGUUGCUCAGGCAUCCGUCCCAAGAUUACCGGACCGGGACAGAAGGCAGCAGACUUUAUCAUACAGGUAAUCUUUUGUUCUCAAAAGCACUAGACAUAUAACUCUAACACGCUUGUGUUAUUGAUAUGCAGGGAGAGGAGACUCAUGGAGUUCCUGGUCUUGUGACUCUCUUUGGCAUCGAGUCGCCUGGUUUGACUUGAAGCUUGGCUAUUGCAGAACAUUUAGCCAACAAGUUCUUAUGAUGAAAGUGUAAGCUAAUGUCUACAUUUGAGAACAAAGCUGGCCCAUAAGUAUAAGGCUUGGCAAAUUCAAACAGUUUUCCUCUCUGUGAUUCAUUUUUCAGACUGUCAACAAAGUGAUAUUUUCAAUUCUUAUACUCCAGAAAAAGAUUGUUGUUGCAACUAAAAUAACUAAGAAUGUUCUUAAGAAACUUAACAGAAUUGCUCCAAGUCAAGAAUGUACAAAGAAACAAACUGUUUUCCUCUCUUUUUUUUUUAUAAGCAAACCGACGCAGAUGCAGAAAAAAAAAAGUUUUUGAGAUCAGAAAGAAGCUGAGCUUGUCCUCCUCAGCUGCCUCUUGGGAUCAAGUGGUGGUGGUGCACUUGGGAGGAUCUUCUCUACCUCCUGCAAAGUAAAUAGAAAACAAACAAUGUAACGUAAACUAUCAAUUACAAGUUUGUCAUGAGUAAAAGAAAGAGUGUUGUAAUGUAUAUUGUAAUGAGCCAAACGACUCUUACAAGAAGCAAACAAACAACAAAGACUUGUUCUCUACUGUCUACUAUGCUUGUGCCCAAUUCCAUACUUAACUAAAUAUCCUAUCAUCUACCAUUCCCUCUAAUUCGAAUCCAAAAGUUAAUUACAUGUUCAAUUUUAACACCAAUCACAAUCAAUGCAUGUAUAAACCAUAAGGGCCAAGGCUACAAAACAUUACCUUUUGCCUCCUGAGUCUUUCGUUUUCUUCUUCUAACCGUGAAACUUUGAUUUCUAGCUCAUGAGUGUAAGCCUGCUCAUCAGCACCCAGUAUAAGAUUUGAGUAGACUAAUAACAACACCACAUUUUGCAAUUACAGAAAGAUUGUUGUCACCUGUUUCCUAGCUCGAGAACGAGCUGCAGACUCUCUGUUCUUAAUCAUCCUCUUCUGUUUCCUCUCUACAGUCUUCUCCACAACUUCUCCUGAAGCUACCCUCUUCCUCCCUGGAGUUUGCGUAUCUGAUAAACCACCCAUCAAAGAAGACUGAGACACCAUUGCUUGCAUGUCUGCAACCGGAUACGGCAUGAAUGAUUGAGGCUGUGGCAUUGACGGCAGCUGAUGAUACUGAACCCAUGGGGCAACCUGAGGUAUGUUUUGCUCCAUACCAGCACUACCAUUCCCAUGGUUCGAACCAGGAACUGUCUCGGUCACCACUCCUGCUUUCAAUAACAAGUCCUCAAGCGUCAUUUCACCUAAGGUAGGCUGCUUAUCUCUCCUCUCAUGACCACUACCACCUCCAUUCUUGUCCUGCUGAAUGUCUUUCCAGACCUCUUCAACUGUCUUUUUGCUUAGAUCCCGCGGUAAAGUCAAACUCCCCUGACGAGAGAGACCUUCAUUGACAGCCAUGGACGGUGGCUGAUUAGUUUCAACAGAACAAACACUCUUGAGAAGCUCGUCAAGAUUCAUGCUUCCAAGCGCUUUACCAGAACUCCCCAAGUGGGUUUGGACCUCGUCGAGUGUUAAGCUAUAGAGAGAGCCUUGCCUAUUCAAAGACUGAUGAGAUCUAGGUUCCCUCUGAGAAUCCAUACCGCUUUUAAAAUAAAAACACAACACAGAUGGAUAGAUAAAACACGAUCCUGACCCCACAACAAAUCAGAAAACCCUAAUCUCAGCAGCAAACGAAGAAGAGUUUCACCAAAUUGAGGCAAAAGGUAACACCUUUUUCCCUAAGGUUGGUUGACUCGAGGAACAUGCAGUAGAGGAACAGAGCAUCGAAGAGGAAGAAAUCAAAGCGUGGUAGCAAUCUGAAAGGGUGUUGGGGAUUGCAUGCAGCAUCGGAAGCUAUGGAAUGCAGAUGCUAAACAUGGUAAUCGAGAAAGACAAGGUUUUUAUAGAAACGCUUGCGAAGAAGAUACUGAAAGCUACAAUCUUUGGAAAAGGGUAGAACGAAUUUGAGCUUGGAAAGGAUCAGAUCUAAGCAAGGGAGAUUCGGGUUUUUCUGGAAAGAAGGAUGAAACUAUAUGAUAAGUUC
rnacentral:lncRNA from 1 species